UACGAAGGGGGCUAGCGUUGCUCGGAAUUAUUGGGCGUAAAGGGCGCGUAGGCGGCUUUGCAAGUGACGGGUGAAAUCCCUCGGCUUAACCGAGGAACUGCCUGUCAGACUGCAUGGCUUGAGACCAGGAGAGGUGAGUGGAAUUCCCAGUGUAGCGGUGAAAUGCGUAGAUAUUGGGAGGAACACCAGUGGCGAAGGCGGCUCACUGGACUGGUACUGACGCUGAGGCGCGAAAGCGUGGGGAGCAAACAGG
rnacentral:rRNA from 1 species